UGAAUACGAGAUGCUACGGCAUUGAAGCAGUCUAUGUCAUACUUCCAAGAAAAGCUUGCACUGUCAUAAACAAAUAAUGCCUGUACCAUAACCGACACAGGUGGGUAGGUAGAGUAUACUAAGGGGCGCGAGAUAACUCUCUCUAAGGAACUCGGCAAAAUGACUCCGUAACUUCGGGAGAAGGAGUGCCUUAUUUAUUAAGGUUGCAAUAACAAGAUCCAAGCAACUGUUUAUCAAAAACACAGGUCUCCGCUAAGCCGUAAGACGAUGUAUGGGGGCUGACGCCUGCCCAGUGCCAGAAGGUUAAAGAAGUUGGUUAGCAUUAGCGAAGCUGAUAACUGAAGCCCUGGUGAACGGCGGCCGUAACAAUAACGGUCCUAAGGUAGCGAAAUUCCUUGUCGGGUAAGUUCCGACCCGCACGAAAGGCGUAAUGAUUUGGAUACUGUCUCGGAGAGGGGCUCGGUGAAAUAGACUUGUCUGUGAAGAUGCGGACUACCUGCACCUGGACAGAAAGACCCUAUGAAGCUUUACUGUAACUUGAAAUUGAAAUUGGACUUUAUUUGCGCAGCAUAGGUGGGAGGCUAUGAGAUUAUCCUUGUGGGGAUAAAGGAGCCAUCAGUGAGAUACCACUCUUGUAAUGUUAGAUUUCUAGCUUUGUAUCAUUAUCUGGUCAAAGAACAGUUUCAGGCGGGCAGUUUGACUGGGGCGGUCGCCUCCUAAACGGUAACGGAGGCGCACAAAGGUUUCCUCUGAACGGGUAGAAAUCGUAUCUAGAGUGUAAAGGCAUAAGGAAGCUUGACUGUGAGACCUACAAGUCGAGCAGGGACGAAAGUCGGUCUUAGUGAUCUGACGGUGCUGAGUGGAAAGGCCGUCACUCAACGGAUAAAAGUUACUCUAGGAUAACAGGCUGAUCUCCCCCAAGAGUUCACAUCGACGGGGAGGUUUGGCACCUCGAUGUCGGCUCAUCGCAUCCUGGGGCGGUAGUACGUCCCAAGGGUUGGGCUGUUCGCCCAUGAAAGCGGUACGCGAGCUGGGUUCAGAACGUCGUGAGACAGUUCGAUCCAUAUCCGGUGUAGGCGUUAGAAUAUUGAGAGGAUCCUUCUUUAGUACGAGAGGACCAAGAAGGACAUACCUCUGGUGUACCAGUUAUCGUGCCAACGGUAAACGCUGGGUAGCUAUGUAUGGAAUGGAUAACCGCUGAAAGCAUCUAAGUGGGAAGCCAACCUCGAGAUAAG
rnacentral:rRNA from 1 species